rnacentral:rRNA from 1 species
AACGAACGCUGGCGGCAUGCCUAACACAUGCAAGUCGAACGAGACCUUCGGGUCUAGUGGCGCACGGGUGCGUAACGCGUGGGAACCUGCCCUUAGGUUCGGAAUAACUCCCCGAAAGGGGUGCUAAUACCGGAUCAUGUCUUGGGUCCAAAGAGUUAUCGCCUUUGGAGGGGCCCGGGUUGGAUUAGUUAGGGGGGAGGGUAAAAGGCUUUCAUGGGGACGAUGCAUAACUGGUCAGAGAGGAGGGUCAGCCACACUGGCACUGAGACACGGCCGAGACUCCUGCGGUAGGCAGCAGUGGGGAAUAUUGCACGAUGGGGGAAUGCCUGAUACUGGCAUGCCGCGUGUGUGAUGAAGCUCUUCGGACGGUAAAGCACUGUAAGUUGUGAGGAAGGACAGCAAGUUAAUCCCGGGCGGUAUUGACGUUACCAACAGAAUAAGCACCGGCUAACUUCGUG